UACGUAGGGGGCUAGCGUUAUCCGGAAUUACUGGGCGUAAAGGGUGCGUAGGUGGUUUCUUAAGUCAGAGGUGAAAGGCUACGGCUCAACCGUAGUAAGCCUUUGAAACUGGGGAACUUGAGUGCAGGAGAGGAGAGUGGAAUUCCUAGUGUAGCGGUGAAAUGCGUAGAUAUUAGGAGGAACACCAGUGGCGAAAGCGGCUCUCUGGCCUGUAACUGACACUGAGGCUCGAAAGCGUGGGGAGCAAACAGG
rnacentral:rRNA from 1 species